GGAGGAAAGCAGGGGAUCGUAAGACCUUGCGCUUUUGGAGUGGCCGAUGCCUGAUUAGCUAGUUGGUGGGGUAAGGGCCUACCAAGGCGACGAUCAGUAGUUGGUCUGAGAGGACGACCAGCCACACUGGGACUGAGACACGGCCCAGACUCCUACGGGAGGCAGCAGUGGGGAAUUUUGGACAAUGGGCGAAAGCCUGAUCCAGCAAUGCCGCGUGAGUGAAGAAGGCCUUCGGGUUGUAAAGCUCUUUCAGUCGAGAAGAAAAGGUUGCGACGAAUAAUCGUAACUCAUGACGGUAUCGACAGAAGAAGCACCGGCUAACUACGUGCCAGCAGCCGCGGUAAUACGUAGGGUGCGAGCGUUAAUCGGAAUUACUGGGCGUAAAGGGUGCGCAGGCGGCUUUGUAAGUCAGAUGUGAAAUCCCCGGGCUUAACCUGGGAAUUGCGUUUGAAACUACAAAGCUAGA
rnacentral:rRNA from 1 species